UCUGAUGUGGUGUAGUGGUCAACAUUGCUGUGAACCAUGCUCCGAGUCUCCAGCUUCUGUUCACAGUCGCCCUGGGUUCAAUUCCCUGCAUUCGAA